rnacentral:misc_RNA from 1 species
UACUGCCAAAAUAAGAGAACACUGCGUAAGGUUUUAACUGAAGAAAGGAGCUUUUGGUGGAGCCCUGGAGAGUUUGGGGAAGAGGAAGAAAAUUUGCGGGUCUUUGGUCCCAUAGAAGAGCGCCACGGCGUAUUAAGGCGUUGGUGGCUCCCCAGACUAGGCCCACUGCCACUAUCUUCUCUAUAUCUCUUGCCAUCGUCGUGGUCAUUUGCGACGUCCAUGGAUUGUGGUGGAUUCGGAGCUCUGCCUUUUUUGGUGUGGCUUGGCGUGUAAACGACUUCGUUUCCAUGCCGGACGCG